rnacentral:rRNA from 1 species
UACGAAGGGGGCUAGCGUUGUUCGGAAUUACUGGGCGUAAAGCGUGCGUAGACGGUUAUUUAAGUCGGAUGUGAAAGCCCCGGGCUCAACCUGGGAAUUGCAUUCGAGACUGAAUAGCUAGGGUACGGUAGAGGGAAGUGGAAUUUCCGGUGUAGCGGUGAAAUGCGUAGAUAUCGGAAGGAACAUCAGUGGCGAAAGCGACUUCCUGGACCAGUACCGACGUUCAGGCACGAAAGCGUGGGGAGCAAACAGG